rnacentral:rRNA from 1 species
UACAGAGGGUGCGAGCGUUGUCCGGAGUCACUGGGCGUAAAGGGCGCGUAGGCGGUUUUGUAAGUCGGGGGUGAAAUGCUGCGGCUCAACCGCAGCGCUGCCUUCGAGACUGCAAGACUGGAGCACGGUAGAGGCGGAUGGAAUUCCCGGUGUAGCGGUGGAAUGCGUAGAGAUCGGGAAGAACACCAAUGGCGAAAGCGCUCUACUGGGCCAUAACUGACACUGAGGGACGAAAGCUAGGGGAGCGAAAGGG